rnacentral:rRNA from 1 species
GACGAACCGAGCGAACGUUGUUCGGAAUCACUGGGCUUAAAGGGCGCGUAGGCGGGCAUCCAAGUCUGUGGUGAAAUACUCCGGCUCAACCGGAGAACUGCCUCGGAUACUGGGUGUCUCGAGGGGGAUAGGGGUGUGUGGAACUAUCGGUGGAGCGGUGAAAUGCGUUGAUAUCGAUAGGAACUCCGGUGGCGAAGGCGACACACUGGAUCUCAUCUGACGCUGAGGCGCGAAAGCCAGGGGAGCAAACGGG